rnacentral:lncRNA from 1 species
UCAAGAGUAAACCUCACCUACGGAAGAACGUGGGUAGACGAGGGACGUACUCAAGAGUAAACCUCACCUACGGAAGAACGUGGGUAGACGAGGGACGUACUCAAGAGUAAACCUCACCUACGGAGGAACGUGGGUAGACGAGGGACGUACUCAAGAGUAAACCUCACCUACGGAGGAAUGUGGGUAGACGAAGGACGUGGGUAGACGAGGGACGUACUCAAGAGUAAACCUCACCUACGGAGGAACGUGGGUAGACGAGGGACGUACUCAAGAGUAAACCUCACCUACGGAGGAACGUGGGUAGACGAGGG